AUCAUCGAGAUAAAAAAAGAGAAAAGAAAAUAAACUCGAGGGUUCAAAAGAAGCACGAGCGAAAGAAGGGCACUCAGUUGAAAAACAAGAAUAUAAAAGAAAAAUCGAGCGAAAAACGAAAAGAGAAAAUUUUAAGAAAGGAAAAUGAACCAACACAGUGAAAAUAAUAGUAACAUUGACUCUGAACCAAAAACCACUUGUUUCCUAUUUUAUUUGAAUAUCCACACCAUAACCUAAGCCCCGUUACAACCUGAAAG
rnacentral:lncRNA from 1 species